AACGAACGCUGGCGGCAUGCCUAACACAUGCAAGUCGAACGAGACCUUCGGGUCUAGUUGCGCACGGGUGCGUAACGCGUGGGAACCUGCCCUUAGGUUCGGAAUAACUCCCCGAAAGGGGUGCUAAUACCGGAUAAUGUCUUCGGACCAAAGAUUUAUCGCCUUUGGAUGGGCCCGCGUUGGAUUAGCUAGUUGGUAGGGUAAAAGCCUACCAAGGCGACGAUCCAUAGCUGGUCUGAGAGGAUGAUCAGCCACACUGGGACUGAGACACGGCCCAGACUACUACGCGAGGGAGGAGUGGGGAAUAUUGGACAAUGGGCGAGAGCAUGAUCCAGCAAUGCCGGGUGAGUGAUGAAGGUCUUAGGGUUGUAAAGCUCUUUUACCCGGGAUGAUAAUGACAGUACCGGGAGAAUAAGCACCGGCUAACUCCGUG
rnacentral:rRNA from 1 species